rnacentral:rRNA from 1 species
GAUGAACGCUGGCGGCGUGCCUAAUACAUGCAAGUCGAGUGAACGGACGAGAAGCUUGCUUCUCUGAUGUUAGCGGCGGACGGGUGAGUAACACGUGGAUAACCUACCUAUAAGACUGGGAUAACUUCGGGAAACCGUAGCUAAUACCGGAUAAUAUUUUGAACCGCAUGGUUCAAAAGUGAAAGACGGUCUUGCUGUCACUUAUAGAUGGAUCCGCGCUGCAUUAGCUAGUUGGUAAGGUAACGGCUUACCAAGGCAACGAUGCAUAGCCGACCUGAGAGGGUGAUCGGCCACACUGGAACUGAGACACGGUCCAGACUCCUACGGGAGGCAGCAGUAGGGAAUCUUCCGCAAUGGGCGAAAGCCUGACGGAGCAACGCCGCGUGAGUGAUGAAGGUCUUCGGAUCGUAAAACUCUGUUAUUAGGGAAGAACAUAUGUGUAAGUAACUGUGCACAUCUUGACGGUACCUAAUCAGAAAGCCACGGCUAACUACGUG